GCAAGUCGAACGAAGUAGCAAUACUUAGUGGCAGACGGGUGAGUAACAUGUAGGUAUCUGCCCUUUGGCCUGGAAUAACACGAGGAAACUUGUGCUAAUACCGGAUAAAUCUUUACGGAGAAAGCUUUAUGCACCAUUGGAUGAGCCUGCACUUGAUUAGUUUGUUGGUGGGGUAUGGCCUACCAAGACUGUGAUCAAUAGCUGAUUUGAGAGGAUGAUCAGCACAUUGGGACUGAGACACGGCCCAAACUCCUACGGGAGGCAGCAGUGGGGAAUCUUGCACAAUGGAGGAAACUCUGAUGCAGCGAUGCCGCGUGAGUGAAGAAGGCCCUUGGGUUGUAAAGCUCUUUCGUCGGGGAAGAAAAUGACUGUACCCGAAUAAGAAGGUCCGGCUAACUUCGUGCCAGCAGCCGCGGUAAUACGAAGGGACCUAGCGUAGUUCGGAAUUACUGGGCUUAAAGAGUUCGUAGGUGGUUGAAAAAGUUGGUGGUGAAAUCCCAGAGCUUAACUCUGGAACUGCCAUCAAAACUUUUCAGCUAGAGUAUGAUAGAGGAAAGCAGAAUUUCUAGUGUAGAGGUGAAAUUCGUAGAUAUUAGAAAGAAUACCAAUUGCGAAGGCAGCUUUCUGGAUCAUUACUGACACUGAGGAACGAAAGCAUGGGUAGCGAAGAGGAUCAGAUACCCUCGUAGUCCGUGCCGUAAACGACGUGUGUUAGACGUUGGAAAU
rnacentral:rRNA from 1 species